rnacentral:lncRNA from 1 species
GAGAGAGGUCCAAGUCCAAGAUUUUUCUUUUAUAUUUUAUUUAUUUAUUUAUUUAUUUAUUUUUCAAAACACGUGGGCUUCGCCUAGCGAGCAUGACAGUUCAUGAACAAACUUUUGCUCCUUCAAGAUUACCAUUUUGACUGAUGAAUAGACCCCAUAUGAACAUGUUGGAAGUAUCUCAAGCCAUUCCCUUGUGUUGACUGAUCACCCAGAUAGGACCCACAAAGUGUCUUGGAU